rnacentral:rRNA from 1 species
UACUACAUGGAUAACUGUAGUAAUUCUAGAGCUAAUACAUGCCACUAUGCCCUGACCCGCAAGGGAACGGGUGGAUUUAUUAGAACAGAACCAACCGAUGCGGGCAACCGUGUCGUCUAAUUCUGUGAUGACUCUGGAUAACUUUACUGAUCGCAGUCGGCCUUGUGUCGGCGACGGAUCUUUCAAAUGUCUGCCCUAUCAAUUGUCGAUGGUAGGUGAUCUGCCUACCAUGGUGAUAACGGGUAACGGGGAAUCAGGGUUCUAUUCCGGAGAGGGAGCCUGAGAAACGGCUACCACAUCCAAGGAAGGCAGCAGGCACGCAAAUUACCCAAUCCCACCACGGUGAGGUAGUGACAAAAAAUACCAAUACGGGACUCUCUAAAGGCUCCGUAAUUCGAAUGAGUACAUUCUAAAUCCUUUAACGAGGACCAACUGGAGGGCAAGUCUGGUGCCAGCAGCCGCGGUAACUCCAGCUUCAGAAGCGUAUAUUAAAGUUGUGGCAGUUAAAAAGCUCGUAAUUGGAUCUGGGUCGCACGGCCACAUGCUGUGCUCAUGUUUUCUACUCUUUUGGGUGGAUAUGCGUGAGUCGGUGUACUGGUUGUGCUGCCUUUCUGCCGUGUCUGUGUAUACGGGUGCUGGCUGGCCCGAUGGGUUCGUCCUGUUGGGCAGUUGGCAUGCUCCUUGAUGCCUUUAACACGGUGUCGAGGGCGGACGGCACGUUUACUUUGAACACAUUUGAGAGCUCAAAGCAAGCCAAUGCGCCUGAAAAUUCUUGCAUGGAAUAAUGGACUACGACUUCGGUUCUAUAUUGUUGCUUUCAGAUCCGAAGUAAUGUUAAGAGGGACAGACGGGGGCAUUUGUAUGGCGGUGUUAGAGGUGAAAUUCUUGGAUCGCCGCCAGACAAACUACAGCGAAAGCAUUUGCCAAGGAUGUUUUCAUUGAUCUGGAGCGAAAGUCAGAGGUUCGAAGACGAUCAGAUACCGUCCUAGUUCUGACCAUAAACGAUGCCAACUGACGAUCCGUGGUGGUUCUUUUAUUGGCCCCGCGGGCAGUCCCCGGGAAACCCUUAAGUCUUUGGGCUCCGGGGGAAGUAUGGUUGCAAAGCUGAAACUUAAAGGAAUUGACGGAAGGGCACCACCAGGAGUGGAGCCUGCGGCUUAAUUCGACUCAACACGGGAAAACUCACCCGGCCCGGACACUAUGAGGAUUGACAGAUUGAUAGCUCUUUCUUGAUUCGGUGGUUGGUGGUGCAUGGCCGUUCUUAGUUGGUGGAGCGAUUUGUCUGGUUAAUUCCGAUAACGAACGAGACUCUGACCUGCUAAAUAGUAUGCCCGUCCCCUGUGCUCGUAUAGGCUGGAGCGUUCACUGCCUCUCGGGGUGGUGGCGUUGUUGGUCGGCGGGUACGGCGCGGGUAUAUACUUCUUAGAGGGACCAGCGGCGCAAUAGUCGCACGAAAUUGAGCAAUAACAGGUCUGUGAUGCCCUUAGAUGUCCGGGGCCGCACGUGCGCUACAAUGACGGUUUCAGCGAGUUUGGAAUCCUGGCCCGAAAGGGUUGGGCAAACUGAAUCAUAACCGUCGUGACUGGGAUCGGGGCUUGCAAUUAUUCCCCGUGAACGAGGAAUUCCUGGUAAGUGCAAGUCAUAAGCUUGCGCUGAUUACGUCCCUGCCCUUUGUACACACCGCCCGUCGCUACUACCGAUUGAAUGGUUUAGCGAGGUCAUCGGAUUGGCGCCAUUGUAGUGGUUUCGGCCGCUCGACCGGUGCUGAGAAGACGACCGAACUUG